GAGUUUGAUCAUGGCUCAGAUUGAACGCUGGCGGCAGGCCUAACACAUGCAAGUCGAGCGGAUGACGGGAGCUUGCUCCUUGAUUCAGCGGCGGACGGGUGAGUAAUGCCUAGGAAUCUGCCUGGUAGUGGGGGACAACGUUUCGAAAGGAACGCUAAUACCGCAUACGUCCUACGGGAGAAAGCAGGGGACCUUCGGGCCUUGCGCUAUCAGAUGAGCCUAGGUCGGAUUAGCUAGUUGGUGGGGUAAUGGCUCACCAAGGCGACGAUCCGUAACUGGUCUGAGAGGAUGAUCAGUCACACUGGAACUGAGACACGGUCCAGACUCCUACGGGAGGCAGCAGUGGGGAAUAUUGGACAAUGGGCGAAAGCCUGAUCCAGCCAUGCCGCGUGUGUGAAGAAGGUCUUCGGAUUGUAAAGCACUUUAAGUUGGGAGGAAGGGCAGUAAGCUAAUACCUUGCUGUUUUGACGUUACCGACAGAAUAAGCACCGGCUAACUCUGUGCCAGCCGCCGCGGUAAUUC
rnacentral:rRNA from 1 species